CCGCCAACCACUAUGGCAGAGCACGUGACUGAGGUACAGAGUUUCUACGUGACGUGAUUGACCUGGAAGUAGGAAUGGAUCCAUUUCAUCUUACGUGCCGCUUGGGCAGUGUCUAUGAGCUCAUUCUGGCAGAUCCUGCUCCAUUUGGAACCUGGCUGUGAGCAAGAAAACAUCUGUGGUCGGAAAGCGGGGGCAGUGAUUCAGGCCUGUUUGGGACUCGGAGAGAGGAUGUCCUUGAACCCUUUGCUCGGCAAACAGCUCCCUCCCACAAGGAUGUGAGAGGUCAUCUGUCUGUCUACUUUGACACUUUCACCCAGUGACCUUCAGGGAUUCAGACACCUUCCCGCCCCCACCCACCACCACCCUGGGAAGAUGGAUUAAAUCUGAGAGGACUGUGCAAGGAGGUGGAAGAAGUCGUGCCAAGCGUACAUGGAGGAGAAAGGGGACCAGCUCAGUUCACACUGGAUGGGCAGCUGUGAUUGGCAGAAGGGCCAAGGAAAAUCAGGUUGUUCUUGUGACAUGUGGGCCGAGAAGAGCAUUUGGUUGGAUAGUUGUGUUCUGGAAUCCCAGGUGAAGCCAGCUGCAAUUUCCUACAUGUGAGAAGCUCAGGAAAAGUGUGCUGUAAAACUCGCCCCACACUCUGUCCCUCACCAUCAGCAGAUGGGCCACUAAAUUGUUCUGUGUUUG
rnacentral:lncRNA from 1 species